rnacentral:rRNA from 1 species
CGCACGGGUGAGUAACGCGUAUCCAACCUGCCCUUUACUCGGGGAUAGCCUUCUGAAAGGAAGUUUAAUACCCGAUGAAUUCGUUUAGUCGCAUGGCUUGAUGAAGAAAGAUUUAUCGGUAAAGGAUGGGGAUGCGUCCCAUUAGCUUGUUGGCGGGGUAACGGCCCACCAAGGCGACGAUGGGUAGGGGUUCUGAGAGGAAGGUCCCCCACAUUGGAACUGAGACACGGUCCAAACUCCUACGGGAGGCAGCAGUGAGGAAUAUUGGUCAAUGGGCGCGAGCCUGAACCAGCCAAGUAGCGUGGAGGACGACGGCCCUACGGGUUGUAAACUCCUUUUAUAAGGGGAUAAAGUUGGCCAUGUAUGGCCAUUUGCAGGUACCUUAUGAAUAAGCAUCGGCUAAUUCCGUGCCAGCAGCCGCGGUAAUACGGAAGAUGCGAGCGUUAUCCGGAUUUAUUGGGUUUAAAGGGAGCGUAGGCGGGCAGUCAAGUCAGCGGUCAAAUGGCGCGGCUCAACCGCGAAAUUCCGCCGUUGAAACUGGCAGCCUUGAGUAUGCACAGGGUACAUGGAAUUCGUGGUGUAGCGGUGAAAUGCUUAGAUAUCACGAGGAACUCCGAUCGCGCAGGCAUUGUACCGGGGCAUUACUGACGCUGAGGCUCGAAGGUGCGGGUAUCAAACAGGAUUAGAUACCCUGGUAGUCCGCACAGUAAACGAUGAAUGCCCGCUGUCGGCGACAUAGGUCGGCGGCCAAGCGAAAGCGUUAAGCAUUCCACCUGGGGAGUACGCCGGCAACGGUGAAACUCAAAGGAAUUGACGGGGGCCCGCACAAGCGGAGGAACAUGUGGUUUAAUUCGAUGAUACGCGAGGAACCUUACCCGGGCUUGAAUCGCAGGUGCAUGGGCCGGAGACGGCCCUUUCCUUCGGGACUCCUGCGAAGGUGCUGCAUGGUUGUCGUCAGCUCGUGCCGUGAGGUGUCGGCUUAAGUGCCAUAACGAGCGCAACCCCCCUCCCCAGUUGCCACCGGGUAAUGCCGGGCACUUUGGGGACACUGCCACCGCAAGGUGCGAGGAAGGUGGGGAUGACGUCAAAUCAGCACGGCCCUUACGUCCGGGGCGACACACGUGUUACAAUGGGGGGUACAGAGGGCCGCUGCCCGGUGACGGUUGGCCAAUCCCUAAAACCUCUCUCAGUUCGGACUGGAGUCUGCAACCCGACU